GCGGCUCAGGCAGGCGGGCGGAACUCCCGCGCUAUCCAGCCACCUGGUCUCGCCUCGCCUGGUCUCUGCCCUCGGCAUGGAGGGGGUCCCGGCGGUAACGACAGGCAACGCCGGCGCUACCAAGGCCGAGGGAGCCGCAGCCAUGCCGCCGCCGCCCCCCGUCUCCCCGCCUGCCCUCACCCCCGCGCCCUCAGCGGGUGAGGAGGGCCCGCCGCCUUUGCCCGAGGCGGGGGCUCCCGGCUGCUCCGGCUCCCGGCCCCCUGAGCUGGAGCCCGAGCGCAGCCUGGGCCGUUUGAGGAGCCGCUUCGAGGACGAGGACGAGGAGUUGGAAGAGGAUGAAGACCUGGAUGAGGAAGAAGAGGAGGAGGAGGAGGAAGAGAUGAGCCACUUCUCGCUGAGGUUGGAGGGGGGCCGGCCGGACUCCGAGGACGAGGAGGAGCGCCUGAUUAACCUUUCUGAGCUGACCCCAUACAUCUUGUGUUCCAUUUGCAAAGGUUACUUAAUAGAUGCAACUACCAUUACAGAAUGUCUUCAUACAUUUUGUAAAAGCUGCAUUGUAAGACACUUUUACUAUAGCAACAGAUGUCCAAAAUGCAACAUAGUGGUCCAUCAGACACAACCUCUUUACAACAUAAGGUUGGACCGACAGUUACAAGACAUAGUGUACAAAUUAGUGAUCAAUCUAGAGGAAAGAGAAAAAAAGCAAAUGCAUGAUUUCUAUAAAGAAAGAGGUCUAGAAGUACCUAAACCUGCUGUUCCACAGCCAGUCCCUUUGAGCAAAGGAAGAUCUAAGAAAGUCUUAGAAUCAGUGUUUCGUAUUCCACCUGAACUUGACAUGUCUUUAUUACUAGAGUUCAUUGGUGCUAAUGAAGGAACAGGACAUAUUAAGCCAUUGGAAAAGAAAUUUGUCCGAGUUUCAGGAGAAGCAACUAUUGGACAUGUAGAAAAAUUUCUCAGAAGGAAAAUGGGUCUUGAUCCAGCCUGUCAGGUAGAUAUUAUCUGUGGUGAUCACUUGCUGGAGCGAUAUCAAACGCUAAGGGAAAUUCGACGUGCAAUAGGUGAUGCAGCAAUGCAGGGGAAUCCAAGCAGCAGCGUGUGAAGCAAGAUCCCGGAGACUGAGAAGCUUGUUCCAGUGAAGGAUGACUCAGCACAAGCCUCAGAACCACAGGGAGUGUCCCCCAGCCUGGAUUCUGCAUAGAAUUGAGUAUACAGUUAAAAUAAAAUGACAACCUCCUGGAGUGAUCGGUUACAAAAUGCAGCGGAUAUGCCUGCUAACAUGGAUAAACAUGCCCUGAAAAAGUAUCGACGAGAAGCCUAUCAUCGGGUGUUUGUGAACCGAAGUUUAGCCAUGGAAAAAAUUAAGUGUUUUGGUUUUGAUAUGGAUUAUACCCUUGCUGUGUACAAGUCCCCGGAGUACGAGUCCCUCGGCUUUGAGCUUACCGUGGAGAGAUUAGUUUCUAUUGGCUAUCCUCAGGAGCUGCUCAGCUUUGCAUAUGAUUCUACAUUCCCUACCAGGGGACUUGUCUUUGACACACUGUAUGGAAAUCUUUUGAAAGUUGACGCCUAUGGAAACCUUUUGGUCUGUGCACAUGGAUUUAACUUCAUAAGGGGACCAGAAACUAGAGAGCAGUAUCCAAAUAAAUUUAUCCAACGAGAUGACACUGAAAGAUUUUACAUUCUGAACACACUAUUCAACCUACCAGAGACCUACCUGUUGGCCUGCCUAGUAGAUUUUUUUACUAAUUGUCCCAGAUAUACCAGUGAAUUUAGUGCUAGUGAGAGAUGCCACAUUGCCAGCCUGAGAGAUGGGACAGCACCAGCAGCUCCAUGCAGGCUCUCACCUCCCACACGGCCCCCUCCUUGCCAGUGUGCUGCAGCCAUGUUUGGAAGGGACCACUUCUGAUUGGCUUCUCCUGGGAAUGAAGACGGCCAGCAGAGGUGCUAAUUGUGACAACUGAGUGGGAGCUGUGAAACAGGAUUUAAAGAUGGGGACCUCUUCAUGUCUUACCGGAGUAUGUUCCAGGAUGUAAGAGAUGCGGUUGACUGGGUUCAUUACAAGGGCUCCCUUAAGGAAAAGACAGUUGAAAAUCUUGAGAAGUAUGUAGUCAAAGAUGGAAAACUGCCUUUGCUUCUGAGCCGGAUGAAGGAAGUAGGGAAAGUAUUUCUUGCCACGAACAGUGACUAUAAAUAUACAGAUAAAAUUAUGACUUACCUGUUUGAUUUCCCACAUGGCCCCAAGCCUGGCAGCUCCCAUCGACCAUGGCAGUCCUACUUUGACCUGAUCUUGGUGGACGCACGGAAACCACUCUUUUUUGGAGAAGGCACAGUACUGCGUCAGGUGGAUACUAAAACUGGCAAGCUGAAAAUUGGUACUUACACGGGCCCCUUACAGCAUGGCAUCGUCUACUCAGGGGGUGAGUCCCAUACUACCCUUUAAUUUAGUCUAAGUCUUGGCUCAGACCUCACCGCGAAAGCUUUGGUGUCCUCCUGGGACAGCACCUCAUAUACCCUUGAGUAUUCUAAAGAUAUCAUCUACUGAAGGUAAACAUGUCAGUCACUUGCUAAUACGAGUCAGGGAGAAUGGGUUUAAGAUCUUAGUAUCUGCUAAUGAAUCUUGGAUUUUCACUGAAAGGAUCAGGUUUUUGGUUUUGUUUUGCUUUUUUUCCCAUCCUCCUUUUACCUAUUUGAAACAUUUUCUCAGUGUCUAGAAUCAUGUGGGGGUGAUUCCCAAAGUGUCUUCAAGGGAUUUUUAGGAGCCCCUGUGGACACAGAUGCAUAUUUUGUUGGAGUGAGAAACAUUCGAACAAAGCCAGCUUAAUGGCAGAUCUGUGAUGAGAAUGGUGGUGGUACUUUGGAGGAUUAUAUUCCCUAAAGCUGAGACAUGUAGUUUUGUUGCUCCUGGAUUUGGUGAUCAAGAGCUCUGGUCAGCGCAGUGAAGCUAAAGGCCUUGUCUUAGAGGCAAUAAAAAGGAUAAUGAAAAAAUACAGUGGUGAGUCUUUGUCUUUAAGAAGGUGAGCCCUUUUUCUAAUCUGCUCCUCACAUAAUUAAAAGAAUCUGUGCAGUACUUAAUGGUUAUGGUGCUUGGAAUGCUGGUUUUUAAGAUGGAGACAUUUUGUUUUCUCAUUGUUUAUUCCAUUGUUUCAGGUUCUUCUGAUACCAUCUGUGAUCUGUUGGGAGCCAAGGGCAAAGACAUUUUGUAUAUUGGAGAUCACAUUUUUGGGGACAUUUUAAAAUCAAAGAAACGGCAAGGCUGGAGAACUUUCUUGGUGAUUCCUGAACUUGCACAGGAGCUGCAUGUGUGGACUGAUAAGAGUUCACUUUUCGAAGAGCUUCAAAGCUUGGAUAUUUUCUUGGCUGAACUCUACAAGCACCUUGACAGCAGCAGCAAUGAGCGCCCAGACAUUAGCUCCAUCCAGAGACGGAUUAAGAAAGUAACUCACGACAUGGACAUGUGCUACGGGAUGAUGGGAAGCCUGUUUCGCAGUGGCUCCCGGCAGACCCUCUUCGCCAGCCAGGUGAUGCGGUAUGCCGAUCUCUAUGCAGCAUCUUUCAUCAAUUUGCUGUAUUACCCAUUCAGCUACCUCUUCAGAGCUGCCCACGUUUUGAUGCCUCAUGAGUCAACGGUGGAACACACACAUGUAGAUAUCAAUGAAAUGGAGUCCCCCCUCGCCACCAGGAACCGCACGUCCGUGGAUUUCAAAGAUACCGACUACAAGCGGCAUCAGUUGACACGGUCGAUUAGUGAGAUUAAACCCCCCAACCUCUUCCCACUGGCCCCCCAAGAAAUUACGCAUUGCCAUGAUGAAGAUGAUGAUGAAGAGGAGGAGGAGGAAGAGGAAGAAUGAGGUGGAAAACCAAAACUCUCAGCACUCAUUAAACAAGUUCUGGCGGGACUCACAGGAGCAAAGGCUGUCUCUCUGUGGGUCCUAGUGGGGGGUGGGGGGCUCCAUCAAAGGUACAUCUGGAAAGUUUCUGAAGACUUUAAAAUAUUCUAAUCAUAGGGAGAUACUUGUUUUAGUUUUUUGCAUCUGCACUCUUUGCAGCUGGUUCAGAAUUGUAAGAGAGUCUGUAUCGGAGGAGAGGAAGGGUCAAGCGGGGCUGAACUGCAUGCAGCUGGCUCCGUUGUGGUUUGUGACACUGUUUCAUCAUCAAUAUAUCAUAGUGUAUCCAGAAACACGAAGGGUGGUGGAGGGUCCCAGAGUGAAACAAAGACAAUGGGAAGAGGUGAUCCAAAAAUGUUAUGGUACAAAUUGGGCUCUUACUACAAAAACCCAUCUUUUUCAGUGCAUUACAUAAGUAUUGUAUAUCAGUGGAGAAAUCUAUUAUUUCCAUGAUCAAAUGUAGUUUUUUGUUAAGGUCAAAGUUCUUUUACAAGCUUUUAAGUGUCCUCAGGGACUCUGGGAAGGCUGCUGUCAGUGGCUCUGCAGACUGUUCUCUACUUACUAUAGGGCUGGUCUGGAAUGGACUGCAGUGAUUUCAUUUUGAGGCAAAAAUCUUCAUCCACUUCUACAUUUUUUUUAACCGAUAGCAAAAAUGCUUAUUAUCCAGAAACCUAGUCUUUUUCUUAUCUAGGACGAAUCUAUAGAAAGGAUUUCGCUGAAAGGACAAAGGAGCAAGCCACCCAAAAGGAACAGAACCUCCUUCUUACACUGUAACUGAGCAAAAUUCAUUAGCGUGGGCUGCAUAGUGUGGCUUAUGCCUGCCCCACUCCUCAUUCCAGCCUUCUCUAUCCUCCUGCUGUAUUUCAUAUUCACGCAUUAGAGGGUGGGAAGAGAUCUCUGGAAGCCAGAACUGCUACUCAAACGGAGGGCACAAUGAGUGUGAAUAAAUUCACUGCAGAAUCCCAAGUCACAUCACUUCUUGUUGUUCUGAACAAGAGUGCUGGAUCAUUACUGUAUAUUUUAAGGUAUUAUAACAGCCUCACCAGAACAGUGAAAGCUGUUACAACAUUUUCCACAGUGGUGUAGACUCCUACUUUAACCUUCAUAUGUUUUUUCCAGUCUUACUGUCGUUUGUCAACAUGGGAGGGUUGAUUAGCUGUUCUAGAAUUCAAUAAAGUAUAAUAUUUCUAA